AUCUGACUGGCUGGAUUUUUCACAUUGCCCAUUUGGACAGUCUUGGCCGCAGCUGGGGAUCCUACAGGAAGCAGAGCCAAAGGUAAUGAAAGCCUCCAAGGAAGUGGCUACAAUUGUGGCUUCAAGGGCACCUCCUGCAUGGGGCUUCCACAGAUUGGGCAACCCACGUGGUGACGUGAGUAAAGGAUGUAAGAAGGAAAACAAAUCAGCGAGAAGAUACUGCCCCUUACCCCCGCUUAAAGAGGAGACACAGAUGCCCUGUGAACACCUACCAGUUGGCUG
rnacentral:lncRNA from 1 species